AGACACCAGAGCUUAUGAGGAAAACGGCAACAGACACACCAACCACUUUGCAAUAUAAAUAACUAUUUGACGGUUUAACCAAUGUACCUGCACUCUGGACAUGAAUCCUGUGGGAUAUCAGGUUACUGAUGAACAGCAAGGGACUCCAGAGCCUCAGCAGAAAUGCAUCAGAAAGAGAGGAAAGAACGCUGAAGCUUCAUGUGUCACCAACUAAAACGAGACAAGGCUGAAGGAGGAAUCUGAGCGCUGAGCAGCUGCAGGCCCGUUGACGAUUUCGUGGACGUGGCCAGUUUGCUUUUGACUCCCGGCCGAGGGAAAGACUUGAUGGAGCCCAGGCCCGUCCUGGCUUCUAGCAUCGUCUUGUGCUUCGUACCUGCAGGUUCAAACAGGAAGCAGUGCAGUCAGUGCAUGGAUUUGACUCCACAGGUUCUGCCUGAAGGAAAGAUGAGAUCAGAGGUUGACGUCUGUUAUCUGCUUUCUGAUCUGCAGAAUAUGAGGACCAGUGUGAAAAGGUUGACUUGUAAAUGUCCCAGAUCAAGGUUGAGAAGACUGUUAAAGUCAAAGUUACACGUUUGAACUGAGUUGUGUUUGUCUCGA